AACGAACGCUGGCGGCAGGCCUAACACAUGCAAGUCGAGCGCGCCCUUCGGGGUGAGCGGCGGACGGGUGAGUAACGCGUGGGAACGUGCCCUUCUCUGCGGAAUAGCCUCGGGAAACUGAGAGUAAUACCGCAUACGCCCUCUGGGGGAAAGAUUUGUCGGAGAAGGAUCGGCCCGCGUUGGAUUAGGUAGUUGGUGGGGUAAUGGCCCACCAAGCCGACGAUCCAUAGCUGGUUUGAGAGGAUGAUCAGACACACUGGGACUGAGACACGGCCCAGCCUCCUACGGGAGGCAGCAGUGGGGAAUCUUAGACAAUGGGGGCAACCCUGAUCUAGCCAGGCCGCGUGAGUGAUGUAGGCCUUAGGGUUGUAAAGCUCUUUCAGCUGGGAAGAUAAUGACGGUACCAGCAGAAGAAGCCCCGGCUAACUCCGUG
rnacentral:rRNA from 1 species